GAGAGAGAGAGAGAGAGAGAGAGAGAGAGAGAGAGAGAGAGAGAGAGAGAGAGAGAGAGAGAGAGAGAGAGAGAGAGAGAGAGAGCCUCAGUCAUACUUCAGACGCACUUCCUUGCUCCGGAAAUUGCACGUCCAACUAAUGCAACGAAAGUGACUCAUCCAUCUCAGACUUUCGUCGGCAUGCACACACACACACACACACACACACACACACACACACACACACACACACACACACACUUACCUCGUAAUCUCCAGCACGAGUACAUACUACCUGAACUAGAAUAAUUUCGAAUUCCAGACAUGAGAAAGAUGAACCAGUAUGAUAACUGUUUACCGAAUAAGUAUAAACUGUUGCCCCUUUUCCACGGGGUUCUUUCCUUACUGUCCUUCAUCUCCACCUCGUGUAUUUGGGUCAUGCUGGCAGUAGUGAUGCUUCUUAUCUUCAUUGUUAUUAAUAUAUAAUAACUUCACAGCACCUGUCGUGAUAGUGUUGGAGGAACGUGGGACUAUCGAUUCCCCCAACAUUGAUUCCUUACUGUUACUUUACCAUGUAAGCGAUUUGCUAAUACAGAAGACCGUGUUUAGGAAAAGGUUUCCCUACUCAGCCUGAAGCAUGAUGUGGAAGGGGCUGUCCGCCGUGUAUCAGUACGACGCAGCUGUAUGGCGCAUGCCAGACCAACAAUCCUACGCUCCCUCCAUCCGUAACUCUGUUGGCUUCGGUGCCAGCCAGCCAUCUUUCCCUUCCCUUCCUUUCCCUGAGUAGCCUGAAGCGCAUGCACGACGGCGCUGCAUGUGAAGUCCCUGUACCAGCUGGAACAAUCAAUACUGCAGUGGUCACGUCUGGCUCCACAGAUGGAUGGCGAUGUUUCUUGACCUACCGGGAAAAUAAGUCGUUAGAGGAAAGUGUGGUAACAGUUGACAUUUAGGGAUAACCAGUCACUCGUCUUGAAGGAUAGUAAUCUAGGUUGUCACACUGCUUUACGCAUUCACGAUUUGUUCGAUAUAACAUAGGUAAGGAGACGGUAAAAUUUUUCCGUGCUUUAGCACACAACCUCAAGAGAAUUGGACGAAAGUAAGUAACAUUCAUCUAUGUAGGUUUCCACUGGUGGAACUAAACUCGCACAACAAGAUUGAGUUACGAGUUCACAUUGCGAGGGCUAAAGUCAGAGCCAGUCUAAGGUUUUCGACGAAGUGGGUGUGACACUGCGGCAAUGUUGGCGCGCACACCCAGGCGGCCGCUGCUACCAAUUCACAUAUUUGAAGGUUUUUCUUCUAUUUUUUCCCCUGCUGGAAUAUAGAGAUUUGCUUGAACACAUAUUACUUUACAAUGAAUUUUUCAGCUCUAGUGUCUCUCAUACGUUUGAUGAAUUCUGGUGUUAUUAUUUUCUUUGCAGUGUUGCCAAUGUUAAUGUUGGGAAUGCUUGGUAUUCUGGCAGCACCGUUGCCGGCUCGUCCUUCUCAGCCAGUACACCUGCACGCUGCUGCUCUAUGUAUGGAACAAGAACAAACGUGCCCCACCGCGGGAAUUAUGCCUCUUCUCGGUUGGGGUUCCAAAGCAUUCGAUAGACCGCAAAUCAGAUUCUAAAACUAUGUUGUUAAAGGAACAGGGGCGAUGAAGUAGCCGGAUGGCUGGGGUUGGUGACACACUGGCCGGGGCGGACGGGGCGCGGCCAUUCUCCCACCGCCGCUAGGUCUGGCUUGAGUUGGCUUGAGGUUGACCAACAUUUUAAACAUCGUAACUAAACUGUUCAUAUUUCAUAAAAAAAAAAAAACUCCAAGACUGUAUCACAGAAUUGUUAACUGCUGAUCUGGCAGCUGUAGGUGACAGCCGUGUAAGGGAAAAUCCAUAAACCAGUAAAUACCUGAUCUAAUAAAUAUUGUUCACUGCA